rnacentral:rRNA from 1 species
CAAAAGCGUAUAUUAAAGUUGUUGCAGUUAAAAAGCUCGUAGUUGAACCUUGGGCUUGGCUGGCCGGUCCAUCUUUUUGAUGCGUACUGGACCCAGCCGAGCCUUUCCUUCUGGGUAGCCAUUUAUGGCGAACCAGGACUUUUACUUUGAAAAAAUUAGAGUGUUCAAAGCAGGCCUUUGCUCGAAUAUAUUAGCAUGGAAUAAUAGAAUAGGACGUUAUGGUUCUAUUUUGUUGGUUUCUAGGACCAUCGUAAUGAUUAAUAGGGACGGUCGGGGGUAUCAGUAUUCAGUUGUCAGAGGUGAAAUUCUUGGAUUUACUGAAGACUAACUACUGCGAAAGCAUUUACCAAGGACGUUUNCAUUAA